GAAGCCCCGGGGGAGGCGCGGGCGGAGCGGGGCAGGGGAUCGGUCGCUCCGCCGCGUCCCGGGCCCGCCCUGCCCGCUGGGCUAGCGGGACAAGACUACGGGGCGGGCCGCGGGGAGGCGCAGGCGGGCCGGCCUCCGUAGGGACCCUGCGACUCUCCCGGCUGAGCUCUGAACCCGGCGCGCCCUGCCGUGUUCCAUCCGGGAAGGCGUGAAAAGAGGGAACGGGUAGAUCAGCCUGAAAGUUGCGGGGCAGCGCGGCUCCGUGGUGCAGUUCAAAAUGAAGCGGCUCGCCCCGCUGGGCAAGCUGAUGAAGGCGUACUGCGGGCUCAGGUCGGCACCGACCCCGCGCCCCCCGGGCAAGGGUCCCCUCGCUGCUUCCCUGCCCGGAGCCUGGAACGUGCCGGUGCGGCGGAGCGAGCCUAUCCAGGCGUGCGGGAGAGCGAGGAGUUGGGAUGCUGGCAGCUUCUCGGUGUGCAGUUCUCAUUAGAGAUGGAAGAUGAAGACACGAUCGACGUGUUCCAGCAGCAGAACAGGUGGAGGGUGCUAAGACACGCUGUCCUUUGGAGAAAGAGGAGUUUCAGGAUCCUCAUCUCACCUGACUCUCUCAUCUGUCCUCGAAUUUGCUGUUUUAAUAGUGAACAAAUGAGCAUUCCAAUCACAGGGCUCCUCAAAACUUCAGAGGACUUAACAGUGAACAAAUGAGCAUUCCAAUCACACGGGGCUCCUCAAAACUUCAGAGGACGUUUACCAAAGUUGCUUGUUGUCUUUGACAUUCUGCAUGCACAAGUCAAAACAGUAUCUGCAGGGAUGGAUCAGCAUUUGAAUUGGGCCAGCUUGAUUUAAGUUCAGAUUAAGUCAUGCGUAUUCUCUCUGCUGUUAUUAUUUUUUUAAUUGUUUUUACUAUUUUUUUUUUCUUUCUUUAAACCUAUAGCCUGAACAUUCAUCCAUGUGUUGGGACAUGGAGCGUUCAUUCCUGGCUCUGUUCAGUCUUGUGCCUCUGUUAAAUUAUGUAAAUCAGUGUAUUUUCAUGCUAGUUUUGAGCAUGAAAGUUUACUUUUAGGAGGCACCCAAGAGGAGGAACAGAGAUACUGGUUUUAAGUUCUUAGCUCUUGUUGCAAACGCAGUCGGUCCCUUGGGUGGCACUGAGCCCUUGGCAUGGGCUGAACACGAGACAAUACUUACAGUAGAGUUCACAUACUGAAGGUUUACAUGUGUUUUGUCAUGUUAUGAUAAAGGUGUCCAAAAUAUACAUUUUUUAUGCAGAAAUGA